UAAGAUAUCAGAACAAGCCAUAAGCCCUAGUUACAUGCAAGUCCAAAAACAUUAAAAUGAGAUAACUGGAAACUAAGGCCUAAUCCCAAUAAGACUAAACAUAAAUAAGGGCUCAAAAGUCCAACACGACACAAUCCUAGGACUAAGGACGGAAGUAGUAGCGUACAAGCAUUACCGCCGGCUCUAACAUCUGAAAAGGGAAGAGGGUUCUUACUAUUGAAACAUCAUCCGAGCACUAAGCAAACCAAGAAUACGCAGAACAGAAAGCACUUCAACCAUCUAAGCACAGCACCCUUUUCAGAGUAUCAGCAUUUUGCAAGGAGGAAGAAUGAUAGAGCUCCGAUGACUUCAAGCCUUAUAGGUUGGCAACCAUCAACAUAGUCGGUGAAAUUAUUCCGGAGAUGCCAUUCUCAAG
rnacentral:misc_RNA from 1 species